UAGGGAAUCUUCCGCAAUGGGCGAAAGCCUGACGGAGCAACGCCGCGUGAGUGAUGAAGGUCUUCGGACCGUAAAACUCUGUUAUUAGGGAAGAACAAAUGUGUAAGUAACUAUGCACGUCUUGACGGUACCUAAUCAGAAAGCCACGGCUAACUACGUGCCAGCAGCCGCGGUAAUACGUAGGUGGCAAGCGUUAUCCGGAAUUAUUGGGCGUAAAGCGCGCGUAGGCGGUUUUUUAAGUCUGAUGUGAAAGCCCACGGCUCAACCGUGGAGGGUCAUUGGAAACUGGAAAACUUGAGUGCAGAAGAGGAAAGUGGAAUUCCAUGUGUAGCGGUGAAAUGCGCAGAGAUAUGGAGGAACACCAGUGGCGAAGGCGACUUUCUGGUCUGUAACUGACGCUGAUGUGCGAAAGCGUGGGGAUCAAACAGG
rnacentral:rRNA from 1 species